rnacentral:lncRNA from 1 species
GCCCUGUAUAGAGAAUACCAUUUCAGUACAAAGAAACUGCAGAUGACAUAUCAGUGCUGACACAUCUGAGUAUCAGUUGCUGACUACAGGCUGUUCCUAAGUAGACUGCGAGCCCUGGACGUGCUGUGGAUGUGAACCAGUCCAGCUGAUGUGGACACCCCCUGUCUCUUCAACAGAGUCUGCCAACCAGCUCCUUCCCCAUUGCCUGAAUUCCCUUUUUGCUUUUGACUAGCAUUUCAGCCCUCUUGGGUCCCUAACUGUGUCCCCAAGUCAGCAGGAAGUAGCAUGGGAAAGAAUAUGUCGCCCAUUUUCCCUGGUUGAAAUGCUAAGUCAAAAUGAACUCCCUUACAUAGGCAAUGCCAAUAUCUCUCACUCCCUGAUGGGGACACUGGAGAGACAGCAUUUCCAUGAUUGGAAUCUCCAAAAAGAAAAUGGGGGAAUGAAGGGACCAGCUCCCCAUUUCAGCAGCCAUAACAGCCUAGCACAUGCUUGCCUGACCUUGCCUUGGUC